UACGUAGGGUGCAAGCGUUGUCCGGAAUUAUUGGGCGUAAAGAGCUCGUAGGCGGUCUGUCGCGUCGGCUGUGAAAACCCGGGGCUCAACCCCGGGCCUGCAGUCGAUACGGGCAGACUAGAGUGCGGUAGGGGAGACUGGAAUUCCUGGUGUAGCGGUGAAAUGCGCAGAUAUCAGGAGGAACACCGAUGGCGAAGGCAGGUCUCUGGGCCAUUACUGACACUGAGAAGCGAAAGCAUGGGGAGCGAACAGG
rnacentral:rRNA from 1 species